rnacentral:rRNA from 1 species
CCUACGGGAGGCAGCAGUGGGGAAUCUUAGACAAUGGGGGCAACCCUGAUCUAGCCAUGCCGCGUGAGUGAUGAAGGCCUUAGGGUCGUAAAGCUCUUUCGCCUGUGAUGAUAAUGACAGUAGCAGGUAAAGAAACCCCGGCUAACUCCGUGCCAGCAGCCGCGGUAAUACGGAGGGGGUUGGCGUUGUUCGGAAUUACUGGGCGUAAAGCGCGCGUAGGCGGAUUAGAAAGUUGGGGGUGAAAUCCCGGGGCUCAACCCCGGAACUGCCUCCAAAACUGCUAGUCUAGAGUUCGAGAGAGGUGAGUGGAAUUCCGAGUGUAGAGGUGAAGUUCGUAGAUAUUCGGAGGAACACCAGUGGCGAAGGCGGCUCACUGGCUCGAUACUGACGCUGAGGUGCGAAAGUGUGGGGAGCAAACAGGAUUGGAUACCCUGGUAGUCCACACCGUAAACGAUGAAUGCCAGUCGUCGGAUAGUAUACUAUUCGGUGACACACCUAACGGAUUAAGCAUUCCGCCUGGGGAGUACGGUCGCAAGAUUAAAACUCAAAGGAAUGACGG